AUUGAACGCUGGCGGCAGGCCUAACACAUGCAAGUCGAGCGGCAGCGGGAAAGUAGCUUGCUACUUUUGCCGGCGAGCGGCGGACGGGUGAGUAAUGCCUGGGAAAUUGCCCAGUCGAGGGGGAUAACAGUUGGAAACGACUGCUAAUACCGCAUACGCCCUACGGGGGAAAGCAGGGGACCUUCGGGCCUUGCGCGAUUGGAUAUGCCCAGGUGGGAUUAGGUAGUUGGGGGGGUAAUGGCUCACCAAGGCGGCGAUCCCUAGUUGGUCUGAGAGGAUGAUCAGCCACACUGGAACUGAGACACGGUCCAGACUCCUACGGGAGGCAGCAGUGGGGAAUAUUGCACAAUGGGGGAAACCCUGAUGCAGCCAUGCCGCGUGUGUGAAGAAGGCCUUCGGGUUGUAAAGCACUUUCAGCGAGGAGGAAAGGUUGAUGCCUACUACGUAUCAACUGUGACGUUACUCGCAGAAGAAGCACCGGCUAACUCCGUGCCAGCCGCCGCCGUAACAC
rnacentral:rRNA from 1 species